UACGUAGGGGGCAAGCGUUAUCCGGAUUUACUGGGUGUAAAGGGAGCGUAGACGGCCAUGCAAGUCUGAUGUGAAAACCCGGGGCUCAACCCCGGGACUGCAUUGGAAACUGUGCGGCUGGAGUGUCGGAGAGGCAAGUGGAAUUCCUAGUGUAGCGGUGAAAUGCGUAGAUAUUAGGAGGAACACCAGUGGCGAAGGCGGCUUACUGGACUGUAACUGACGUUGAGGCUCGAAAGCGUGGGGAGCAA
rnacentral:rRNA from 1 species